CAGCAGCCGCGGUAAAACGUAGGGUGCGAGCGUUGUCCGGAUUUAUUGGGCGUAAAGCGAGCGCAGGCGGUUAGAUAAGUCUGAAGUUAAAGGCUGUGGCUUAACCAUAGUACGCUUUGGAAACUGUUUAACUUGAGUGCAGAAGGGGAGAGUGGAAUUCCAUGUGUAGCGGUGAAAUGCGUAGAUAUAUGGAGGAACACCGGUGGCGAAAGCGGCUCUCUGGUCUGUAACUGACGCUGAGGCUCGAAAGCGUGGGGAGCGAACAGGAUUAGAUACCCCAGUAGUCCCUGUCUCUUAUACA
rnacentral:rRNA from 1 species